rnacentral:tRNA from 1 species
GUUUUUAUAGUUGAAUUACAACGGUAGCUUUUCGUGUUACAGGUCUUGGUGUGAUCUAAGUAGAAACU